UCAAAGCAAAAUGGGUGCCAUCUAAAUAUUGAAAUUGUGAUUUUCGCUACAAAAAUAUUCAUGUAAGGUGGCCUAUGAGAUGUCCCCGGAGUUGAAUAAUGUGUAGAGUGUUGUGUGCAAAAUAUAUCGUUAGUAUGUGUCUCAAAAAUUAGAGAAUGAAUUUGCAACUUCUUCAUGGAAACUAAAACAAAUAAAAAUAGGAUUUUGGUCUCCCAUGUCAGCUGGAGAUGAACAUGGAUAUGAAGCAUUAUCCUAACAAACAUCUGCUGGUUCAGAGUGUGAGUCUGUAGAGAAGGAUCAUUGGUCCAAGCCAGGUUUUGACAUCCAUCCAUUGGUUUUCUGCCCUUGUUGUGAUUGAUAAACUCCAUAAUAGUGGACAAUCAUGUUACCUACUUUAAUGAGAUAUUUAUGAAUAAAUUUAAUUAUAAACUCUGAAAUAGUUGAGAUGCUGUGAGUUAUAAGCCAUAAAGAGUAGGACAACUAAUAAACAAAAGACAAUAACAUUUCCUGAAGGCUACAACAUUUGCAUAUUAGGACCUAUGAACAAAAUACUCUUUGGGUUUUUAGACUGAGUCUUGCUCUGUUGCCAGGCUGGAGUGCAGUGGCGCGACCUUGGCACACUGCAACCUCUGCCUCCCAGGUUCAGGUGAUUCUCCUGGCUCAGCCUCCCAAGUAGCUGGGACUACAGGCGCAUGCCACCAUGCCCACCUAAUUUUUUGUAUUUUUAGUAGAGACAGGGUUUCACCAUGUUGGCCACGAUGGUCCCGAUCUCUUGACCUCGUGAUCUGCCUGCCUUGGCCUCCCAAAGUGCUGGGAUUACAGGUGUGAGCCACUGCGCCUAGCUACACAUUGGGUUUUAUUUGGGAUUCGAAGAUAAUUUCAGUCAUAAAGUUUAGGAACAGAUUAUUCCAUUGCUUUACUAUUUCUGUGAGCAUUUAAAAAUUUAUCUUGUUAAAUCUUUAUAGCUUAGUGAAAUAAGGCAGCAAAUUCCUCACUUUGUAGAAGAAGACAUUGAGCCUAAGAGAAGUAAAUUUUCCAAGAACAAUAGCUGUUCAUUAUGGAGCUAGGACUUCUUCAGAGUUGGGACUUUCUAUUAUGUCAAGCGAAUGCAAGUUAAUUUAUUGAGUCAUGGUGCCCUCAAUUUAUGAGUAUUUCACCUUACUUUUUUCUUUUUUAAUUAGAAGCUUAAUGAAAAGUUUGUAGGAUGUACACAUAAGUGGAUGGGAUAAUCUUGUUUUCUGAUAUUCUGAUAUUUGAAAUACUCUAAGAAUUUUUCAUUUGGCCUGAAAAGAAAUUUAAUGAAAAGAACAAGGUCAAAAGUGAAAUACAUUCAGUGGAUGACCUUGAUGACAUAACGUGGCCAUCUGAAAUAGCCUCAGAGGAUUAUGAUUUGCCUUACCCUAAUUAUGAGACUUUUAUGUUGCUCACUGAACAAAUCAAAAUGGAUUUUAACGAUUCUGCUAGCCUAUCAAAAAUCCAGGAUGCAGUUCUUUCAGAUGAACACUUACUAGAACUUAAAAGUAAUCACUGUGAACAACUUACAGUAGAAAUUGAACAAAUGGAAAAUAUGAUCCAUGUACUACAAAAGAAGCUGUCUGAAACAAAAGAAACACAAUUACAGUUAGAACAUGAAAAAGAUGAAUGGGAGCAAGAACUCUCCACUUUGGGGGGAGGAGCCAAGAUGGCCGAAUAGGAACAGCUCUGGUCUACAGCUCCCAGUGUGAGUGACGCAGAAGAUGGGUGAUUUCUGCAUUUCCAUCUCACAAGGGAGUGCCAGACAGUGGGCACAGGUCAGUGGGUGCGCGCAACGUGCGUAAGCCAAAGCAGGGCGACGCAUUGCCUCACUUGGGAAGCGUAAGGGGUCAGGGAGUUCCCUUUCCGAGUCAAAGAAAGGGGUGACGGACUCACCUGGAAAAUUGGGUCACUCCCACCCGAAUAUUGCACUUCUCCGACUGGCUUAAAAAACGGCGCACCACGAGAUUAUAUCCCGCACAUAGCUCAGAGGGUCCUACGCCCACGGAGUCUCGCUGAUUGCUAGCACAGCAGUCUGAGAUCAAACUGCAAGGCGGCAGCGAGGCUGGGGGAGGGGCGCCCACCAUUGCCCAGGCUUGAUUAGGUAAACAAAGCAGCUGGGAAGCUCGAACUGGGUGGAACCCACCACAGCUCAAGCAGGCCUGCCUGCCUCUGUAGGCUCCACCUCUGGGGGCAGGGCACAGACAAACAAAAAGACAGCAGUAACCUCUGCAGACUUAAAUGUCCCUGUCUGACAGCUUUGAAGAGAGCAGUGGUUCUCCCAGCACGCAGCUGCAGAUCCGAGAACCGGCAGACUGCCUCCUCAAGUGGGUCCCUGACCCCUGACCCCCAAGCAGCCUAACUGGGAGGCAACCCCCAGCAGGGGCACACUGACACCUCACACGGCAGGGUAUUCCAACAGACCUGCAGCUGAGGGUCCUGUCUGUUAGAAGGAAAACUAACAAACAGAAAGGACAUCCACACCAAAAACCCAUCUGUACAUCACCGUCAUCAAAGACCAAAAGUAGAUAAAACCACAAAGAUGGGGAAAAAACAGAACAGAAAAAUGGGAAACUCUAAAAAGCAGAGCGCCUCUCUUCCUCCAAAGGAACGCAGUUCCUCACCAGCAACGGAACAAAGCUGGAUGGAGAAUGACUUUGACGAGCUGAGAGAAGAAGGCUUCAAAUGAUCAAAUUACUCUGAGCUACGGGAGGACAUUCAAACCAAAGGCAAAGAAGUUGAAAACUUUGAAAAAAACUUAGAAGAAUGUAUAACCAGAGUAACCAAUACAGAGAAGUGCUUAAAGGAGGUGAUGGAGCUGAAAACCAAGGCUCGAGAACUACGUGAAGAAUGCAGAAGCCUCAGGAGCUGAUGGGAUCAACUGGAAGAAGGGGUAUCAGCAAUGGAAGAUGAAAUGAAUGAAAUGAAGUGAGAAGGGAAAUUUAGAGAAAAAAGAAUAAAAAGAAAUGAGCAAAGCCUCCAAGAAAUAUGGUACUAUGUGAAAAGACCAAGUCUACGUCUGAUUGUUGUACCUGAAAGUGAUGGGGAGAAUGGAACCAAGUUGGAAAACACUCUGCAGGAUAUUAUCCAGGAGAACUUCCCCAAUCUAGCAAGGCAGGCCAACAUUCAGAUUCAGGAAAUACAGAGAACGCCACAAAGAUACUCCUCGAGAAGAGCAACUCCAAGACACAUAAUUGUCAGAUUCACCAAAGUUGAAAUGAAGGAAAAAAUGUUAAGGGCAGCCAGAGAGAAAGGUCGGGUUACACUCAAAGGGAAGCCCGUCAGACUAACAGCGGAUCUCUCGGCAGAAACCCUACAAGCCAGAAGAGAGUGGGGGCCAAUAUUCAACAUUCUUAAAGAAAAGAAUUUUCAACCCAGAAUUUCAUAUCCAGCCAAACUAAGCUUCAUAAGUGAAGAAGAAAUAAAAUACUUUACAGACAAGCAAAUGCUGAGAGAUUUUGUCACCACCAGGCCUGCCCUAAAAGAGCUCCUGAAGGAAGCACUAAACAUGGAAAGGAACAACCGGUACAAGCCACUGCAAAAUAAUGCCAAAAUGUAAAGACCAUCGAGACUAGGAAGAAACUGCAUCAACUAACGAGCAAAAUCACCAGCUAACAUCAUAAUGACAGGAUCAAAUUCACACAUAACAAUACUAACUUUAAAUGUAAAUGGACUAAAUGCUCCAAUUAAAAGACACAGACUGGCAAAUUGGAUAAAGAGUCAAGACCCAUCAGUGUGCUGUAUUCAGGAAACCCAUCUCACGUGCAGAGACACACAUAGGCUCAAAAUAAAAGGAUGGAGGAAGAUCUACC